GCUGCUGCGCCUGGGCGAUGAGCUGGAGAUGAUCCGGCCCAGCGUCUACCGCAACGUGGCGCGUCAGCUGCACAUCUCCCUGCAGUCUGAGCCUGUGGUGACCGAUGCGUUCCUGGCCGUGGCUGGCCACAUCUUCUCUGCAGGCAUCACGUGGGGCAAGGUGGUGUCCCUGUAUGCGGUGGCCGCGGG
rnacentral:circRNA from 1 species